CUUCAUAGCACUGCACACUGCUUCCAUCACCAGUCACAUCCACAACUGGACAUUUGCUUUGGCUCUAUCUCUUCAUUCUUUCUGAAGUUAUUUCUCCACUCUUGUCCAGUAGCAUUUUGGGCACUUACCGAGAUGUUGGGAAAAAACCUGAACUGCUGACCUGGGCAGAUUCCCACAGAUGAGAGAGAAAUUUUUGAAGUCCAGCCUUCCUGAAGGGAGAUUCCAGCAUGCAAUUGGUGCUAUGGAGAGGGUAGCUGACAGAUACAAACAUACAUAGAAUCUCAAUAUAAAAUUUGGAUGAAAACAGCAUGGUUUCUGAAGGAGAAAACAUGAGUAACUUUUGCAGUUUUAGAAUGGGAUCAAUACAUAUGGUGAUUCACACAAGCUGGGAUUUGGUUCUCACCUUCAAAGAAAAUGUCCUGAAGUAAAGGAGAGUUUUGGUGCAGUAUUCAAAGGAUACAUUUUCUAGCUGCUGCUUGUGUCUGCUUGUGUUCACUGACUACUUUUCCAGGCUGGAUUCUGCUCCUUCUUGGCUAAGAUUCUGAGGCCUGCUGCCUUCCUUCUUAAGCCUGUGAGGUUCUCUGGUUCCUGUUAGCUUUGUAGGCUACCUUAAGCAUCAGUGACUUCUGAUAUCAUAAGUAUAUACUCUUAUUCCAAUUCUUUGGGUACUUGAUCCUCAACUCAAACACUGUCACCAACUUCCAUACUCAAGGGGAGCCUUUCCCCAUCUUUUUGGUCCCUUGUUCUAAUGCCAGCUCCCCUGUUACACCUCCUGACAUCUGAGCACAUAAGCUGUUGCCCAUGGCCUGGCAAAUUGUUGAGUAAUCAAAUUGUUGAACAUCUUGAUGCUGUCUGGACUACCCCAAAGAUGAAUAUGAAUGAAGCUGCUAUUGAGUUUGAAAAACCUUGAGUCCCUGGUGGAAAAAAAUGGAUAAUCACUAAAGUUACAUAAUUUUGAACUGCGUGCAAUAAUCAGCUCUCCUCUGGAAUCAUAAUGAAAAGAUAUGAUUACACUUUUAAUUAGGAAAUUAUCAUAAUUUGUACUGAAAUAAAAAACAAUGUGGAAG
ensembl:lncRNA